GCCAGACUCCUACGGGAGGCAGCAGUGGGGAAUAUUGGGCAAUGGGCGCAAGCCUGACCCAGCAACGCCGCGUGAAGGAAGAAGGCUUUCGGGUUGUAAACUUCUUUUAUUGAGGACGAAACAAAUGACGGUACUCAAUGAAUAAGCCACGGCUAACUACGUGCCAGCAGCCGCGGUAAUACGUAGGUGGCAAGCGUUAUCCGGAUUUACUGGGUGUAAAGGGCGUGUAGGCGGGACUGCAAGUCAGAUGUGAAACCCAUGGGCUCAACCCAUGGCCUGCAUUUGAAACUGUAGUUCUUGAGUGAUGGAGAGGCAGGCGGAAUUCCGUGUGUAGCGGUGAAAUGCGUAGAUAUACGGAGGAACACCAGUGGCGAAGGCGGCCUGCUGGACAUUAACUGACGCUGAGGCGCGAAAGCGUGGGGAGCAAACAGGAUUAGAUACCCUCGUA
rnacentral:rRNA from 1 species